rnacentral:lncRNA from 1 species
AAAGUUAUUAAUCUGUAAAGUAAUUUGUAAAAAAUUUUCAAUUGUAAAAUUGCUACAUGAGAAGACAAGUUGUUAGAUGAAAUUCAAAUAUUCUCUAUGUUUGUGUUGUGUAGGUCAAAAAGUAAUAGAUGAAGAUGAUAUUGAUUGUGAUGACUAAGACUUCAUUUUAAGACACAUCAAUCUUCAUCAUUUUUAAAUAAAAAGGAUAAACAUUAUGGAUUUCCAUUAUCUCAAGCAAAAACAAAGAGUUCAAAAUAUUGGUGGUAAGAACUGUCAAAAACUUGUGAUAGCAAUGAUGAAGAGUUUUAUGACAAAUUCACUCAUGGCCAAAUCUAAUAUGGCAGCUGGAAAAAGCAAAGAAUCUUUUUAGUCUAACCAAGCUAUACAACUUAAUAA